rnacentral:rRNA from 1 species
AUUGAACGCUGGCGGCAGGCUUAACACAUGCAAGUCGAGCGGAGAUGAGGUGCUUGCACCUUAUCUUAGCGGCGGACGGGUGAGUAAUGCUUAGGAAUCUGCCUAUUAGUGGGGGACAACAUUACGAAAGGAAUGCUAAUACCGCAUACGUCCUACGGGAGAAAGCAGGGGAUCUUCGGACCUUGCGCUAAUAGAUGAGCCUAAGUCGGAUUAGCUAGUUGGUGGGGUAAAGGCCUACCAAGGCGACGAUCUGUAGCGGGUCUGAGAGGAUGAUCCGCCACACUGGGACUGAGACACGGCCCAGACUCCUACGGGAGGCAGCAGUGGGGAAUAUUGGACAAUGGGGGGAACCCUGAUCCAGCCAUGCCGCGUGUGUGAAGAAGGCCUUAUGGUUGUAAAGCACUUUAAGCGAGGAGGAGGCUACUGAGACUAAUACUCUUGGAUAGUGGACGUUACUCGCAGAAUAAGCACCGGCUAACUCUGUGCCAGCAGCCGCGGUAAUACAGAGGGUGCGAGCGUUAAUCGGAUUUACUGGGCGUAAAGCGUGCGUAGGCGGCUUUUUAAGUCGGAUGUGAAAUCCCCGAGCUUAACUUGGGAAUUGCAUUCGAUACUGGGAAGCUAGAGUAUGGGAGAGGAUGGUAGAAUUCCAGGUGUAGCGGUGAAAAGCGUAGAGAUCUGGAGGAAUACCGAUGGCGAAGGCAGCCAUCUG